rnacentral:lncRNA from 1 species
UGAAAAUGAAGGUACUAGUCAAGUAUUCCGGGAAGGAUUGGUUGGCUUGAGCUAGGUAAAACCUUGUACUCAGUUUUUAUUCUUCAUAGUGGAGUUUUCAAUCGGUGAUAGGCCCGUGGUUUUUUAUCUCUUCGGAGGUUUUCCACGUUAAAAAUCCGGUGUUCAUUGUCUCUUUCUCUCACUCUAUAUUUUGAUUUAUUUUUGAGGAGUGUUGAAGCAUUUGCAUGUGUUUUGCAUUUAUAAAUUGUUGGGAGAGUGUUGAUGCAUACAUUAUUGCUUGUGGAUGUUUUGCUUUGUUGAAAAGUUAUUGGAAGAAAAUUUUCUUGACAUUAAGAUAGUCUAAGGUUAGGUAAUCUUUGUUGGGAGAAUUUUUAAAUUGUUCUACAACACCUAUUCACCCCCCUCUAGGUGUAGUUCAUUAUUGAGAUUCACAUUUUCAAUUGGUAUCAGAGCGGGUUUUUAAAGGAAAAAUCAUUUUUAGUCCUUGAAUCUCAAUCAUGGAACCUCAUCAAGAGGGAGCUUCCAUUGGGAGACCACCAUUUUUAACCGGUGAAAAUUAUUCUCAUUGGAAAGUGAGAAUGCAAUAUUUUCUCAAAAUGCAAAGUGAAAAAGUUUGGAACACUGUUGAAUUUGGUUGGUCUCCACCUAAGGUGUUGGAUAGAGAAGGUAGACCAACUAAUGUUAUCAAGCCUAAAUUGGAAUGGGAUAGAAGUGAAAAUGAAGCAAGUGAGAAUAAUGCUAGAGCCAUGUACUCCAUCUUCGAUGCCAUUAGUACAGAUGAAUUCCGUAGGAUUGCUACAUGUACUUCGGCUAAGGAGGCUUGGGAUAUUCUCCAAGUGACUCAUGAAGGAACUAAUGCCGUGAAAGUGUCCAAGCUUCAAAUGUUGACAUCUAGGUUUGAGACCAUUAGGAUGGAUGAUCAUGAAACUUUUGGAGAAUUUAAUGCAAAACUGAUGGACAUUGUGAAUUCUAGCUUCAAUCUAGGUGAACCCAUCUCUAACUCUAAGGUGGUGAGAAAAAUUUUGAGAUCUCUUCCUGAGAGAUUUAGAGCUAAGGUCACCGCCAUUGAAGAGUCUAAGGAUGUGGAUUCCUUGAAGAUAGAUGAACUUGUAGGUUCCCUCCAAACCUUUGAGAUGACUCUUGUAUCACCUAGGAAAGCUAAGGGAAUUGCUUUAAAAGCUAUUAAAGAAGAGUCCCUAAGUUCCGAAAGUGAGGAUGAUGAGAAAAUGUCGGAGGGUGAGCUUACUAAGUUUGCUAAAAAAUUCAAGAAGUACAUGAAAUUCAGAAAAGCCAAGAAAGAAUCAAAUGAUGGUAAAAAAUGGAGGAACUCAAUUGGAAAAGAGAAAAAGAUGGAGAAAAGUGUGAAAAAGGAGUUGAAAAUUGAGUGCUUUAAAUGUGGGGGAAAGGGUCACUAUGCAUUUGAAUGUCCCUCAAAGAAAAAAGACAAGAAGGCCAUGAAAGUUACUUGGAGUGACUCCGAGUCUAAUCAAUCAAGUGAAAAAGAAUCCAAUGGAAGUGAGGAAUGCACUAACUUCAUAGCCUUUGCUGCAAGUGUCAAUGAGGAACCUCUUUUAAAAGAAGCUUCAAGUGAGUCAAGUGACUCCAAUGAUGAUGACAUGAGUUUUGACACAGCGUAUGAGACUUUGUAUAAGGAGUGUUUGAGCCUUAAACAAGAACAAGUCAAGUGGAAGGCUUCUAAGAAGAUUUUAACCAAUGAGGUUGAUGUUUUAAAGGGAGAAAAGAAAGCCUUGCUUGAUAAAAUUGCAUUUCUUGAAAAUGAACAUUUGGAAGUGAAGGAAAAAUGUGAUAUGUUGAAAAGUGAAAUUCAAAUGUUCAAGGAUGAGUUAAGUCUUAGGAAGGAAGAGUUACAUCCUAGCUCUAAAAGACUUAAUGAGUUAAUUAAUUCAGGGCGUAAAUCUUUUGAUAAAAGAGGCUUAGGAUUUCUUGGUGAAAAUGCUACUACAAGUAGUAGUAAAACGGUUUUUGUUAAGCCUUGUGAAAAAGAAUCUCCUAAGAAACCUCAAUCUCAAAUCAAGUUUCAUUGCAAUCAUUGUGGAAAAAUGGGACACACUUUUGAUAGAUGUUAUGCAAGAUUGUUUGAUAAUUUUCAAAGGAGGUUGACCAACCUAAUGAAUGAAUGUCAUGCUUUGAAGAAUAGGUUGUUGAAUCAGAAUAAGAGAGUGUCCAAGAAGAGCUCAAAGAUCUCUCAUAAUGGUGAGUUGAAAGGAAGCACUUUGAAUGAAAAGACAAAAAUCUCAAAUGUUAAACAAAUUUGGGUGAAAAAGAAUGAGUUGAAGUGUUUCGUUGUCCAUACCGCACUUAAAGCUAUUGAGUCACACUCAUGGUAUCUUGAUAGUGGAUGUUCACAUCAUAUGACUGGAAAUAAAUCUUUGUUCACUUCAUUCACUGAAUUUGAUGGAGGAAAUGUGACAUUUGGAGAUGGUAAUAUGGCUAGAGUGAAAGGCAAAGGUACCAUUUGUGCCCCCAACAUUCCUAAUCUUGAAGAGGUCUUAUAUGUUGAAGGUUUAAAGGCUAACUUAAUUAGCAUAAGCCAAAUGUGUGAGAAUGAGUUCAAUGUCCAAUUUUCACAAAAUCUUUGCAAGGUGUUUGACUUGAAUGAUUUUUGUGUGAUGAUUGGCUUGAGAACUUGUGAUAAUUGUUAUGUUGUUAGUCAAAAGUCUCCUUCAUCAUCUUCUCUUGUGUGUGGAAGUUCUAAAAUUGCAUGUGUUAAUCACUUGUUGGAACAUAGAUUGUUGCAAAAUGAAAAAGAACAUCCCAUUGUAAAAGUUAGGAUUGAUAGGGGGAGAAAAUUUGAUGAUGCCAAUGUUGUUGAUAGGUUAAAGAACCAUGUUCUUCAUUCUAGAUCAAAACAUGUGGACAUUAAGCAUCACUUCAUUCAAGACUUGGUAGAAGACAAGAUUGUUUCACUAGAGUUUUUCCUUAUGGAGGGUCAAAUUGCUAACAAUGUUACUAAACCUUUGGAUGUUUCUAGGUUUGAAUCACUUAGGAGCCCCAUAGGUUUAUAUACUCUCUAUUAACUACCUCUAGAACUUGUCUAGGACUUUCUUCUUGAAUAUCUUUGAGUCCUAGGUGUCUUCUCAAGUUCCAAAGUGUCCUUGUGGUGGUGUUCUUUUUGUUUUGGUUCAAUCUUUUCUUCAUUUUUCAUAAAUUUUCAACAUUUGCUGAGUUCAUGAGAGUGACAUGCUUACAUUUUUGUUUAAAAGUUAAAUUGACUCAUAAUGAUCUUAAAAGCUUCAAGAUGUCUUUAUCUCCAUGGCUUGAUUGAUAAACAUGAUGUUGAAUCCUUGCUAUUUUGAUUUGAUUAGAUAAACCACAAAAGGUUAGUUUCAUUUCUUUUAAGUGAGUAAUAGCUCAUGGUUGAACCUUGUGAUUACAUAAAUGGUGAGUAAUGCUUUUUGUAGUCUAAAUGCAAAUUUAUGUUUAUCUAAUGAGCAUUAAAAAGUGAGUAAAGUCACCCGGAAUAUCCUUGAGUGUUUUAAGAUUAUUCUUCCUUGAUUGUUUGCCCUCUCUUUGAAAUUAAAAAAAAAAAAAAAAAAAAAAAGGAAAAGAAAAAAUAUAUAUAUAUUAAGCUUCCCGGAAUGGUUAUGGCUCCUUGGCAAUGUUUCAAGAGUUAAAAAGCCUCCUUUGCAAGAGUGGGACAUCCCUUAUGUUGUUAUGUUGUAAAGGCCACCUUAGUGAUCGUCAAGUAAAAAAAAAAAAAAAAAAUUGAUCCUAAGGGUGAAGCUCAUGUUCGUGUAAUAAUUUCAAUGCUCAAUGUGAAAAACAAAUGAUGUAUGAAUUUUUUUUUGGGAUGUGAAUAGGCCGUGUUAAACAAAAAUCCGGCCAAGAGAGGUGCAAAUUGACUUCUUGGAACAUUAUCUUGAAUUUCUCUAGGAAGGAAGUGUGUCUUGAAAAUGAUUUUUCACUUUAUGGGUGGAUAUAGGUUUACAAGUGGAAAGAAAUUAACAUUCUCACUAUUUUAUGGUGUCAUGAGUAAGUCUUCUUUGAGUUUAAGCUUCCUUGUUAGAAUGUUGAUAAUCAUUUGUUUUUUAUCUAUUCAUUUGAUAAAUUUGGAAGGUUCUUCAAUCUUUAUGUUUAUUAAUUUUGUCUAAAGUUAAGCUCUUAGUAGCAUCCUUGUUCAAUAUGAAUCAAUUCUAACUCCUUGAUUGAAAGACAAGUAUGUCAUUCUAUUGUAUUUUAGCUUUGGUGAAUCAAAUUUUCAAUUUUUGAAAAGCUUGUUGGAGUAUUUCUUGUGUCUUAUCGUCAGUUUUUUUGUCUAAGUCUUUUUUCAGUAGGGUGUCGAUCGAUCUGCUGAAUUUGUGGAUCGAUCCACUGUGUGCACAGUCUUGUGACCGAGAGCCCUUGAACGAAUUGAGGAUCGAUCCACCAAGAUCGAUACCACUUGCUCCAACACUUAGAAAUUUUCGUGAAAAGUUUCCUGCACAGUUUUUUCCACUGAGAGCUCUUGAACGAAACUUGGAUCGAUCCACCAAGAUCGAUACCACUUAUCUCUUAAAAAAAAAAAAAAAAAAAAAAUUCCUGUUUUGUCCUUGGUCUUGUGUGUUUUUUAAAAGAGGAUAUGAGGGGUAAAAUUGUCAUUCCGUAAAAAAAAAAAAAAAAAUCAAAAUCCCCAAUUUUUAAAAACCCCUCUUCCAUUCUCAAUUGAGCCCUAAUUUCAAAAUCUUUCAAAAUGGGUCUUCAUCUUCUUCUUCUUUUCUUCUUCAUUGCAUAAGCUUCCACCACCAUGGUUGCUGAAAUUUAUUUCUGAUGAAGUCCUCCUCCGUCAUCAUUCUUUUCAACAUUGGAAAUCUCUACAUCAAUGUUUCAUUGGCGCCAUUUCUUUUUCGGAGUGGCUCAUUCACGGGUUUCUUAGCUUAAGCUAUCUUUUUCGGGAACCUUGGGUGUUCGGUUUGUCCAUCUUUCUCUCCACCAUUAGCUUAAUCUAGAUGUUUUCUUUGUGUGGAAUCCUUUCACAACAGUUUUUUUUUUGGAGUUUCAUUUUUGCCUUGGAUUGUUUUUGCUUUCUAGCAAUGUUAAUCCUAGGCUUUGUUUGCUCAUUGUGAGUGCCCUCUAUACAUUUUCAUGCUUGGAAUCUAUUUUCAUGGUGAUAAAGCAUUUUUUCGAAGUUUUUAAAUGAAACCAUGUGAUGAGAUUUAGGGGGAGUUUCGUAUAUCUUAUGAUGGGAGUUAGGGGGAGAUUCUUGUAUCCUAUAUUUUUUUUGGGAUGUUGAUAUGGAUACUUGGUAAUAUGUGAAUACUUGAUUUUUGAGUAUUUGACAUUUUGUUGAAAUGUGGAUGUUUGUUGAUUUGGAUGUAAGAUAUUUUGCUAAUUGAAUUGUCAUCCAUUUGUCUUUUUUCUUGGAUAGAAAGGGGGAGAUUGUGGCCCUUUGUCUCUUUCUGGGACAAAAAGGGGGAGAGACAUUGUAGUUAUUAUUUUGGUGAUUGGAUAUAUGUGGAUAUCUAUGUGUUAAUUCAUUCAAAUCUUGUGGAAGUGCCUUAGAAUAUGUACAGGUGCUACUAAUGUUUUUCUUGAGAUUUUUUUUGCAGGUAUUGUAGUACCUAGGUUGUGGUUUUGAGUGAGUGAGGGGUCUUGUAUGAGAGUUGGGUGGGGUUUACUUACUUGUACUCAUUCGUGUUGUAAAGGGUUUUGUCCCAGAAUUGCCAAAGGGGGAGAUUGUGAGUGUUUAGCUAGGUUGGCAAUUCAGGACAAAAUUCCUAAGUGUCUCCUAACUCGGCUUUCCUAUUCCUAUUCGGACUACUUGACUUUGAAGACUAAGACUUUGCUAAGAGGCCAAGGUAUGUAGUCGAGUGUGGAGUGAUUGGGUGUGAAUCAACCCGGUUUUUAAUCUUUAAAUGUGUUAGAAAGUUGGGAAAAAUGGUUUUUGGUGCAAGGCUUUUAUUCCUCUGUUUCUGGAUCGAUCCAGGUGUAGGGGUGGAUCUAUCCAACUAAUGUUUUUUUGAUCAAAUCUCAGCCAUUAGAUUAAGGGUUUCUUUUUACACUUUAAAACCCAAUCUUCUCUCAUUUUCUGAGUUGAGAGACUGCUGAAAACGUGGGGAGAGCAGCCACACUCCCAAGUGUUCUUCAUUUCUCAUUUUUGCUUUCCUAAGUUGGGGUUUUUGAUUGCAAAGAAAAUCCACUUCUCUUAAUGUUUUCAAAACUAGUUUUCAAUGGAUUUUCUUGAGCAAUAAAGGGGUUGAUUCAUUUCUUCAUUCACAUCUAAAUCUCUCAUUCUAUUUGGGUUGUGCAAAAACCCAUUUUCUUCUUGUGUUGAUUCAAGAAGAGGCCGAGAUUGAGCUUGGUGCGGACUCCAAGUGUGCUCCAACAGGAGAAGCUGAAAAUGAAGGUACUAGUCAAGUAUUCCGGGAAGGAUUGGUUGGCUUGAGCUAGGUAAAACCUUGUACUCAGUUUUUAUUCUUCAUAGUGGAGUUUUCAAUCGGUGAUAGGCCCGUGGUUUUUUAUCUCUUCGGAGGUUUUCCACGUUAAAAAUCCGGUGUUCAUUGUCUCUUUCUCUCACUCUAUAUUUUGAUUUAUUUUUGAGGAGUGUUGAAGCAUUUGCAUGUGUUUUGCAUUUAUAAAUUGUUGGGAGAGUGUUGAUGCAUACAUUAUUGCUUGUG